rnacentral:piRNA from 1 species
UACAUAGUGAGCUACAUAGAGGCUCUUGUU